rnacentral:siRNA from 1 species
UUAAGGUGGCAUUUGACAAGAU